rnacentral:lncRNA from 1 species
UGCGCCAAUAAGGUCCCACGCCAACCAGAUUUGAUGCCAAUUUUUCCAUGCCCCCUUUCCUUUCUUUAGCAUGUAAUAACCUCUUUUAAACUCCUUAUUCACUGUGUGAAACCUGGGUGCAAAAGGAGUUGGGUUGGCUGACACAAAAAUUGCUAGAGUCCUAAUAGAAUUGGACUCUUAUUUCCUAUCCAAACACCUUAUCCUCUUAGCAUAUUUAAACAUGGGUCAUGAGGGUUGUUAG